UUUAAACCUGCAAGAAGUGCAUUUUUAGAAACACAAUUGUCUGCAUGCUUUUGUUCGCAGCUGACUGUGUUGUGUCACCCUGACGGAGGAGGCACAAGAGGAUUGUGAGGUCAUAUAAAACUGGAUUAUGACAAUGAAUCAACAGGGCAUUAGGAAUAAGCUAAUUAGAAAGGAAGAAUCUGCAUGCACACACGCAUCUUGCUAAUUGGCAAUUAUGGGAGAGAAUGGAAGAAGAAAACACACAGCAGCUAAACAGGAUUUUAACACGAUACUGAAGAGAUCCACCCAGAUUUCCCCAUUGGGACCCUUGAUCCUGCAAGCACUUGAGCACUGAGUAUCACACUAUCUCCGUAGGAUCCAUUCAGAGAUCAGGACUUGUAACUGGAAGGACACAGUGGCAUAACCAGAUUUAACGUAAGCCAUGAUCCUCAGCACCCCUUUAGAAAACAAAACAAAACCAAAUAAACAAUUUGAGACCAAGUCAUAAUCUGAGCUGACUGUGCAGUAUUUGACUUGCUUUCAAAACCAUUUAGUGUUUUUAGAAAAUACUGCGGGUUCUGUACUCUCUGCGGUAUUUCCAGCGGACACAGAUCUUCCUGUGGUAUUAGAGCUGGC